UGUGAAGCUGAAAACUGUGCAAAAAGUGUGUAGCUCUGCUAAUUGGAAUAAAAAAUGCAGUAAAAAGUGUAAAUUAAGAACGGAAACAAUAUAAAAAUGGCGAUCCAAAAGCCAGGCGAGUGGGCGAACUCACUUUUAGCCCGUUUCGAAGACCAGCUGCCCAAUAAAAUUGGUUUGCAUGGCACCCAAGCGCGCUUGAGUCAGGAUCAGCUGACCGCCUGUCUCAUACAAAUUUCUCGUUAUCGCUUCUCACUAGUUAUAUCUGGACUCACCAAAAUGCUGCAACGAGUUAACGAAGCGUCUAUGCAAAGUCGUCACGACGCUGAGCGUUGUUAUUUUGAAUCACUAGUCAUAAUAUUAACAACUCUGGAACGUUGUUUGGCUAAUCAGACAAAGGAUACGGCACGUUUUGAGGAAGCAAUGAAUGUUAAACUACUUUUACGCGAAAUUUCGCAAUUCAUCGAUGUACAGAGUGAUAAUAAUCCAAAUGCAGCGCAGCUGAAAGCUAUUGCGUCAAGAGUGCUUUUCGGACUGUCACAAAAUCAUUUUUCAGCUGUAUUUAAUCGCAUAUCAGCGCGCAUACAAGAGUUGAUCACAUGCUCAGAUGAGAAUCCCGACUGUUGUGACAUUGAAUUAAUACAACACAUUGACAUGGACAUAAAUAAAUUAACCAAACUUUUGCAAGUGACCAAGUCAAGAUCGAAGAAGGCGCCGCCUUUGAUUUUACUGCAUUCGUUAGAGAAAGCCAUUUGGAACUGGAUUGAAUAUCAUCCACAUGAAUUUCAGGAUUUGCAACGCGGCAUUGCCACCAAAGAUAUUUCAAGCUGCUGGGAAACAUUGCUGGAAUUUGUUGAAGCAUAUAAAGCAGAAAAUAAGAAGAACAAGACAACCGUCUGGCCAUUACAAAUGCUUUUGCUUAUACUAAAUCCCAGCUGCUUAGAAGCCACCGUCAAUGAACUGCAACAAUCUGAAAAGGAGAAGGAUAAAGAAAAAUACAGAGAUAAAGAUAAAACGUCAUUAACGCAAAACUCUGCACAAACAGCACGUGAUAAAGAGCAAUCUGCUAAGCAAUUUAUUGAGGGCAUUAAACGUGGCUUGGGGCCACACUCACCCUCAAAGCAGGUCACGGAGUAUGCCGCUAUUGCUUGUGUAAAGCUAUGCAAAGCCUCAACAUAUGUCAAUAACAACGAUUCAAAUAAUGUGCUCUUCAAAUUAGUGCAGUAUGUCAUUAAUGAUUUGAAAGCGUUGCUCUUUAAUCCGGUCAAGCCAUUUUCGCGUGGUCAGGCGUACAAUUAUGCUGAUAUUGAGCUUAUGAUCGACUGUUGGGUUUCACUAUUUCGCAUAAAUCCACAUAAUAUCGACACAUUGAAGGUCUGCCUCAAUUUGUCUUCACCGCAGGCGUAUCACUUUGUAAUUGUCUGCUCUUUGUUGAGAUUAACACACAUACAUGUGGAUUUUCGUCUACAAAAUAAAAACUGUUUCCGCACCAUCCAUCAGCCAAUACUAUCUUGGUGGGCCAAAACCAAUGUUGUACACUAUCGUUCUGCAGAAUUGCGCGCACUCUUCACCGAUACCUUGAAUAAGGCCACUCAGGGUUAUAUUGCGCACACGCCACUGCGUAUGAUAACAUCGCUGACGCUGAAAUCGAAAGAUACGCAGAAAGGCUUAACGCGUUCUGAAGAGGGACCUGCACACAAAAUGCUGCUGCUCCUCUUGGUUCGGCUUAUACACGCUGACCCGAUGUUACUUUUAAAUACACAAGGCAAAGUGGCGCAUGAAAUGCAAAGUUCCUCGCUCGAGCUCAUCAAUGGUCUAGUGAGUCUCGUGCACCAACCCACCAUGCCCGAUGUAGCGCAGGAAGCUAUGGAGGCAUUACUAGCUUUACACUCAUACGAUAAAAUCGAAUUGUGGAAUCCACAGGCGCCAAUGAAUUGCUUUUGGGAUGUCAGUUCGCAAGUGCUAUUUUCGAUUUCGCAAAAACUUAUACAACAUCAGAUUGCCAACUAUACGGAUGUGCUGAAAUGGAUGCGUGGCAUACUGAGUUGCCGCAAUGACUAUCUGCAGCGGCACAAGAAGUACGCAUUGGUCGGUCAUGAGCUGCAGAUCUGUCGUCAGGCGCGCAUUAAACUGGAAGUGGUGUUCUUCAUGUAUUUGUGGUCAGUCGAUUUGGAUGCAGUGCUCACGUCGCUCUCCUGUUUUGGUCUCUUAUGCCAAGAGUCUGAUAUUUUGUUGACGGCCGAUGAUUCGGCGACUGUGUUACCUGUUGCGAAUUAUCAAAUAUAUCAGGAGCUGACGCAAUUGGCAAGCUCGGACACGCGCAUAUGUUUUUAUGAAACUAAUCAUGGCAAUGCUUACAACCGUCUGGCUCUACAACGACGUAUGAUGAAUUUGUUGCGCAAAAUCGAGCACUGUGUUGAUGGUGUACAAACUGCGUGGGAGGAAACCUUUAGAAAUUGGGAACUCACCAGCAAAGUAUUACAAACAUAUCCCAAAUAUAAAAGUGACGAUGUGCAAGCCGAGCUCUUCCAUCGUGGCGUUGGCAAGCGUCGCGCAAGUCAUCAAAGUUCGGAGCAUGAUUUGGAGGAACACAUCACCGAAUGGGCCAACAUGACAUGGUUUCUGCUAACACUUGGCGGUGUGUGUCUGCAAAAGCGUUUGUCUUCGCGUUGGAAGCAAAUGCAGUUACAAAAUAAUACCGCAACGGCUGGUUCCAGUAGCGGUAUGCCCGCGACGAGCAAUCUCCUGCAGUCGCACACCAGUUUGGCGCAAUCGCAGAACACUUUAGCAGCGUCCGGCAGUUUGACUUCGAUCUCCACAAUACCAGCUGUCUCACUCUAUUCGCUUUACUCAUGUUCCACCAGUUCCGGACGUGGUUCUCUACUGCAUCCCAGCACCAUAUCAUUGACUACGAUAGUGCCGGUGCCGCAGCAAGAUUUACAAUACUGUCCGGUGUCACAAUUCAUCGGUCAGUUGUUGCGCUUGUUGGUGUGCAAUAAUGAAAAAAUCGGCUCGAAUAUACAGAAAAAUGUGAAAGAUUUAAUUUCGGAAGAGAUGACACCACAACUCUAUCCCAUAGUUUUCGAUCAAAUACGUUCGAUAGUCGAGAAAUUUUUCGAUCAACAGGGGCAAGUCAACGUCUCCGAAAUCAAUACCGCCUUCAUCGACCACAUUAUACACAUAAUGAUUUCGAUAUUGAGCCCACGACCCGUAAAAGAUCCGAAUAAUGAGCAAGUCGCUGCUUCCGAGUACCUGAGCGUGACGAGCAUUGAAGGCAUGAUGCUGGGCAUUGUGCGUUAUAUGCGUCAUCGCGAAAUGACUGUGUCAGGGAUACGCGCCAAAGUGCGCGUUUGUAAUUUGGUAGAGAUAAUGAUAAAACGUCGCGACGAUUUGGCUUUUCGGCAAGAAAUGAAAUUUCGCAAUAAAUUAGUAGAGUACUUAAGCGAUUGGGUUAUGGGCACCUCACACCAAAUAGUACCGACAGCCAACGAACCGCCGCCAACAAAUCCCGCUGAAAUAUUCCGUGAACUCGAUAUAGCUUGUAUGGAAGCUGUUGCCGCUUUGCUACGUGGACUACCUUUGCAACCCGAGGAAUCCGAUCGUGGCGAUUUGAUGGACGCGAAGAGCGCAUUAUUCCUCAAAUACUUCACGCUUUUCAUGAAUCUCCUCAACGACUGCAUUGAUAGCACUGAGGCAGAGAAAGAGCUAAGUAAUCCACCACUACUCCCACCGCAUCCGGCUGUUAAUGGCCGAUUGGGCAUGUUACGCUUUACCACCAUACAGGCGAUGUCAAAUUUGCUCGGCGCCAACAUCGACUCGGGUCUGACGCAUUCCAUCGAUCUUGGCUACAAUCCCGAUUUACAAACACGCGCCUCCUUUAUGGAAGUGCUUACGCGCAUCUUGAAGCAAGGCACUGAAUUCGAUACGCUCGCCGAGACUGUGCUAGCCGAUCGUUUCGAGCAGCUGGUCCAAUUGGUUACAAUGAUUAGUGAUAAGGGUGAGCUGCCCAUAGCCAUGGCAUUGGCCAAUGUGGUGACCACUUCACAAAUGGAUGAAUUGGCACGUGUGCUGGUAACACUAUUCGAUGCCAAGCAUCUGCUCUCACCGCUCUUGUGGAACAUGUUCUAUCGCGAAGUCGAAAUAUCCGAAUGCAUGUCGACACUCUUUCGCGGCAAUUCGCUUGGCAGUAAAAUAAUGGCAUUUUGCUUUAAAAUUUACGGUGCAAGCUAUUUGCAAAAUUUGCUAGAGCCGCUAAUACGACCGUUGCUCGAUGAUCAGACCACUAGCUAUGAGGUGGAUCCGGCUAGACUUGAGCCCGGUGAAGACUUGGAACGCAAUAAAGAGAACCUAAUAUCGCUCACCAGAGUCUUCUUUGAAGCGAUACUCAAUUCAGUGGAUCGUUUCCCCUCACAGUUGCGCUCAAUGUGUCACUGCCUCUACCAGGUGUUGAGCAAACGCUUUCCCACCGUCUUGCAAACCAAUAUUGGCGCAGUGGGCACUGUGAUCUUUCUACGCUUCAUAAAUCCAGCUAUUGUCUCACCCCAAGAACUCGGCAUUGUUAAUCGCCAAGUACCGGCUUCGGUGAAGCGUGGUCUAAUGUUGAUGUCGAAAAUCUUACAAAACAUCGCCAAUCACAUUGAGUUCUCUAAGGAACAGCAUAUGGUGUCAUUCAAUGAUUUUCUACGCGCACGUUUUGAACAGGGUCGUCACUUUUUCGUACAAAUCGCCUCGGAUUGCGAGACGGUGGAUCAGGCUUCGCACAGCAUGAGCUUCAUCUCAGAUGCCAAUGUUUUGGCAUUACAUCGUUUGCUGUGGACGCAUCAGGAGCGCAUUGGCGAUUAUCUCUCCAGCAGUCGUGAUCACAAAGCUGUUGGCAGACGUCCUUUCGACAAAAUGGCCACAUUGCUGGCUUAUUUGGGGCCGCCAGAACAUAAACCAGUGGACUCACAUUCGAUGCACUGCAGCAUGAUGUUCUCAUCGUAUGCGCGUUGGAGCUCUAUUGACAUGUCAUCGAAUAACUUCGAAGAUGUUAUGGUGAAACAUCAAAUGCACGAAAAGGAGGAAUUCAAAAGCAUAAAAUCCAUGAAUAUCUUCUAUCAAGCCGGCACAAGUAAAGCGGGACUACCCGUGUUCUACUACAUUGCCAGGCGUUACAAAAUCGGCGAAACGAAUGGCGACUUACUGCUCUAUCAUGUAAUACUCACGCUCAAAGCAUUAUGCCACUCACCUUUCGAAUUGCUCAUAGACUUCACGCACACUUGCUCGGACAAUCGCUUUCGCACCGAGUUCUUGCAAAAAUGGUUUUGUGUGCUGCCAACCGUUACCUAUGACAAUUUAUGCACCAUUUACAUUUACAACUGUAAUUCAUGGGUGCGUGAAUAUACAAAAUUCCAUGAACGCGUACUAGCGCCGAUAAAGAGUGAUCGCAAACUAGUGUUCAUCGAUUCGUCCAAUAAACUCAAUGAAUACAUCGACACUGAACAACAGAAACUGCCAGGCGCCACAUUAUCGCUAGACGAAGAUCUCAAGGUAUUCAAUAAUGCGCUCAAGCUUAGCCAUAAAGAUACCAAAGUUGCUAUAAAAGUCGGACCCACUGCAUUGCAAGUGACAGCCGUGGAAAAAACCAAAGUGCUGGGCCAUUCAGUACUGCUCAACGAUGUCUAUUAUGCCUCCGAGAUUGAGGAAGUUUGUCUGGUGGAUGAUAAUCAAUUUACGCUCUCCAUAACGAAUGAAAGCGGUCAGCUUAGCUUUAUACACAACGAUUGUGAUACCAUUGUACAGGCCAUCAUACAUAUACGCAAUCGUUGGGAGUUAAGUCAACCGGAAUCGGUGACGGUGCACCAGAAAAUACGUCCCAAAGAUGUGCCCGGUACACUUUUAAAUAUGGCAUUACUUAAUUUAGGCACCUCAGAUCCCACCUUGCGUUUAGCUGCCUAUAAUUUACUCUGCUCGCUCACAUGCUCCUUUGAUUUGAAAAUCGAAGGUCAACUAUUGGAGGCACACGGUUUGUGUAUACCAUCGAACAACACAAUUUUCAUUAAAUCCAUCAGCGAGAAAUUAGCCACCAAUGAACCACAUUUGACGCUCGAAUUCCUAGAGGAAUGCAUACAGGGUUUCCAGCGUAGCACAAUUGAAUUGAAGCAUUUAUGCUUGGAAUAUAUGACACCGUGGCUGAAUAACCUUUUGAAAUUUUGCAAAUCGAACGAUGAUGCCAAAAAGUUAAAGGUCGCACAGAUUUUAGAUAAAUUGAUUUGUCUUACAAUCGAACAGAAGGAGAUGUAUCCAUCGGUGCAGGCGAAAAUUUGGGGCUCCAUUGGUCGCAUACCCGAUCUUAUCGAUAUGGUGCUGGAUAAUUUCCUACACAAAUCGAUUACUUACGGUUUGGGUUCGCCGCACGUGGAGAUUAUGGCCGACACGGCUGUGGCGCUGGCCUCGGCCAAUGUGCUGUUGGUGUCGAAGAAGAUAAUAACACGCAUGUGCCGCGUCUUGGAUAAGACCUGCACCAAUCCAACACAGUUUCUGGAGCAGCAUAUGAUGUGGGAUGAUAUUGCAAUACUGACGCGUUUUCUGCUCAUGUUGUCCUUCAAUAACUGCCUCGAUGUCGUAACACAUUUGCCAUAUCUAUUUCAUAUUAUCACGUUUUUGAUCUGCUCCGGUUCGGUGACAAUGCGCGCCUCCAUACACGGUCUCGUCGUCAACAUUAUACACUCGCUGACUACUUGCACUAAACCGACUUUCUCAGACAAUGCAAAGCGCGUGCUGCGGCUGGCACUCGAAGAGUUCUCACUCUACAAAUUCUAUGCGCUCUUCGGUAUCAGCAAAGUCAAAUCGGCCGCUGUAACAGCCUUCCGGUCGAGCUAUCGUCAUCCAUCCGACAGAUGGUUGGGCAAUGAGCGCGUCUGUCAAAUGUUACCAGCCGAUGUGGAGCGCAUCACAUUGCCCUCAUUGGAAGAGGUGGUCGAUUCGCUAUCGGAGAUCAUGUCGGUUUGCAUGCCCGAUGUGCCGGAUUGCCAAUGGUUGGAGACAUGGACGACGUUGUCGCGCAGUUUCGCUUUCUGUUACAACCCUGCGUUGGAACCACGUGCGCUCAUAGUUUACGGUUGCAUUAGUAAAAGCAUAACCGAUCAGGAAGUGAAACAGCUCUUGCGCAUUCUAGUAAAAGCACUGGAAUCAUUCAACGACAUCACAUUAAUCGAGGCGAUCGUAUUAUGUUUGACGCGCAUACAACCCCUACUGAGACCUGAAUCGCCGAUACAUCGCGCCCUAUUCUGGGUUGCUAUCUCUGUGCUGCAGCUGGACGAAGUAUCGUUGUAUGACGCCGGUUUGGCGUUUCUAGAACAAAAUCUACAUACGCUGGAACGUCAAGGUUGCUUCGAUCACGAGAGCAUAGCCGACGUCAUGAUGCGUACACGCGAAAAACUUGAGUGGCACUUCAAGCAACUCGAUCAUGCAGUUGGCUUAUCGUUUCGCAGCAAUUUCCACUUUGCACUCGUCGGUCACUUACUAAAAGGCUUUCGUCAUCCCACACCUUCAACGGUGUUUCGCACAUCCCGCAUACUCGGCACGCUGCUGAGUCUCGUCGCCAAACCUUUUCAUCGUGACAAAUUCGAAGUGACACCUGACAGCGUUGCCUAUUUGACCGCUUUGGUAGCCGUUUCCGAGGAAGUGCGCUCACGCUGCCACGUCAAGCAUGCCAUACCGCGUUGGACCACCGAUUUGAGCAUUAUGGAAAAUGGCGAAACGAUCUUCUAUGGCAAUCAAAAUGCGCUCGGCAUGUCGCUACCACGUCGGCAAAAGUCCUGGGAUAUGCUUGAUCAGUCCGCUUUACAGUUUGCGCGUCAUCACAAAGGACCCGCUCAUCAGAUUAUAUCAGCUGUCUCUAUUAUUUAAAUUGCGAAUUAUUUCAAUUGCUUCUUUUGACCGUUGUUUGGCACGAACCUAAUUGCUUGCUUCGCAUGUCUAUAAAACUAAGAACGUGGCUCGCGUUCGUCUGUCUCCAAUGAGUCCAAUGUGCUAUUGGAUCCCGAAGUGCUCUCCGAUUUGUCCACGCAAGCGCUAGUAUUAACGGUUUUGGCCACAUUAGUGAAAUAUUCGACAGACGAGAAUGAG
rnacentral:misc_RNA from 1 species